GUGCGGUUUCUUUGUUCUCGUUCUGGAAAGUUGGGUGGACGUCGCAAAGAAUGUGUGUUAGCGCGCCUCAGCUCGUCCACUACGCAGCGGCAUGUAUGCGGGGAGUAACAUCGUCGACGCAGCACCGGCAACUUGGAGAGUGCUUCGCGACCGCGUCGUACCAUUCAAAAGUGGCGAGGCUGUGACCCAUAACAGUGCCUACAUAACGGAGGAGCCACCAGACCCCUUGGCUAUGCCUGCCGUAGUGCAACGUAUAAUCUGGAUGGUCGGGUCAGGUACACCUAGGAAAUGUUGUAUACAUUGGCAACGAUAAAUGGGGCCUGCUCCAGUGCCAUCGCCGGGAUUCCCUGUUCUGCAAAGAACUGACAUAACUGAUGUGGGGAGCCCUGGCACUCGGUGUAGGAG